GCAGUCGAGCGGACCUUUUAAAGCUUGCUUUUGAAAGGUCAGCGGCGGACGGGUGAGUAACACGUGGGCAACCUGCCUGUAAGACUGGGAUAACUUCGGGAAACCGGAGCUAAUACCGGAUAAUAUAAGGAACCUCCUGGUUCUUUAUUGAAAGAUGGUUUCGGCUAUCACUUACAGAUGGGCCCGCGGCGCAUUAGCUAGUUGGUGAGGUAACGGCUCACCAAGGCGACGAUGCGUAGCCGACCUGAGAGGGUGAUCGGCCACACUGGGACUGAGACACGGCCCAGACUCCUACGGGAGGCAGCAGUAGGGAAUCUUCCACAAUGGACGAAAGUCUGAUGGAGCAACGCCGCGUGAGCGAUGAAGGCCUUCGGGUCGUAAAGCUCUGUUGUUAGGGAAGAACAAGUGCGAGAGUAACUGCUCGCACCUUGACGGUACCUAACCAGAAAGCCACGGCUAACUACGUGCCAGCAGCCGCGGUAAUACGUAGGUGGCAAGCGUUGUCCGGAAUUAUUGGGCGUAAAGCGCGCGCAGGUGGUCCUUUAAGUCUGAUGUGAAAGCCCACGGCUCAACCGUGGAGGGUCAUUGGAAA
rnacentral:rRNA from 2 species